GACGAACGCUGGCGGCGUGCUUAACACAUGCAAGUCGAACGGUAAGGCCCUUCGGGGUACACGAGUGGCGAACGGGUGAGUAACACGUGGGUGAUCUGCCCUGCACUUCGGGAUAAGCCUGGGAAACUGGGUCUAAUACCGGAUAGGACUCCUGGCUUCAUGGUUGGGGGUGGAAAGCUUUUGCGGUGUGGGAUGGGCCCGCGGCCUAUCAGCUUGUUGAUGGGGUAAUGGCCUACCAAGGCGACGACGGGUAGCCGGCCUGAGAGGGUGACCGGUCACACUGGGACUGAGAUACGGCCCAGACUCCUACGGGAGGCAGCAGUGGGGAAUAUUGCACAAUGGGCGCAAGCCUGAUGCAGCGACGCCGCGUGAGGGAUGACGGCCUUCGGGUUGUAAACCUCUUUCAGCAUCGACGAAGCGAAAGUGACGGUAGGUGCAGAAGAAGGACCGGCCAACUACGUGCCAGCCGCCGCGGUAA
rnacentral:rRNA from 1 species